rnacentral:siRNA from 1 species
CACAGGUUCAUGUUUUUGGCGCA